CUAUUUCUCGGUGCCAAGCA
rnacentral:piRNA from 1 species